rnacentral:lncRNA from 1 species
CUAGUUCUGCUGGAGUGGAGCUGAGAGAGGCUCUUGGGAGCUGCCUGCGUGGGCAGAGUUUGAAGGCUUAGGAUAUCUCCUGAAGGCCGGAUGGGCCAGUAGAGAUUAACGAGGCUUGAGCUGUCUUGAAAGAUGGCUGCCCUGAGAACUGGCUAGAAGAGGAGACCAAGGAGGCUGUGUGGGUCACCCUUGCAUUGGAGAUGAGGGGAGUCGUGAGAGAUCAGUGGGGAGCCCAUUGCCCUGUUGGGGAACUGCCUGGUGGAGCUUUCCCAGGGAUAUUUUAAAGAACCUACAUGGGAGAAAGCCUGCAUUUGGACAUCUUCCAGGCCAUUCAAUAGCCAAAGAGAACCACCAACAGCUUGAAUCAAAAAAAAGGGCCCUCAAAAUAGGCUGAAUGAAAAGAGGUGUGAUCGAUGAAAACUGGCCGCUCCUUCUUUGCAACUCCUUCCAUUAGGUGGUGGAGUCUACGUUGCCCUCCCUUUGAUCCAGG